UACGUAGGUGGCAAGCGUUGUCCGGAAUUACUGGGCGUAAAGGGCGCGUAGGCGGACAGUUUAGUCAGAGGUAAAAGCCCAGGGCUCAACCUUGGAACUGCCUUUGAUACUGACUGUCUUGAGUUCGGGAGAGGUGAGUGGAAUGCCGAGUGUAGAGGUGAAAUUCGUAGAUAUUCGGCGGAACACCAGUGGCGAAGGCGACUCACUGGCCCGAUACUGACGCUGAGGCGCGAAAGCGUGGGGAGCAAACAGG
rnacentral:rRNA from 1 species